CUCUGUCCAUAUUCCAAAAGAUGUGGCUUACUUUCGUAUGGAGAGGCAGCAGGUGCUCCUCAAAGCACUGCAAGUUCUUCAUUAUCUCCCUUCUACUCAGUGGAAUGAGGAUCAGAUGUCCAGUACUGUAGAUUUGACAUCUCCUGCAUAUUUUGAUGGAGUAUUUGUAUCAGUGUCAGAGGUCCCCCUGCACUCGGUCAAUAUAGAGGUUUUUAAAACCCAGCUGGACUUCCUCCUGUCACAUUUUGACAUCCAGUAUAAUAACAGAACCAUCAAGACAGCUGGAGAUGAAAUGGAGCUCUUUAGUAUGGUUAACUACCUGUUCAGGACUGUGUUUAAAAAUCAGGAGGAGAUGAAGACCUUCUUACAGUAUGUCAGCACUGAAGCAACAGAGAGGAAGUGGGGGAGAAAGAGUCCGAACAUGACGCUCAGAAAAGAGUCCAACUGGAUUCCUCAUAUACAGAUGAAACCAAAGCGAGAUCCCUGGCAACAAAAACAAAUGGCUAAACUCAAGGAGCUCAGAUCAAUGGAUGAACUUCUCCAGAUGCACAGCAAGUUCCUGGAGGAGUCCGAUCUUCAUAAAGUGACUGAUGCUUUAAAGCAGUACAUCGCAUCUGUUUGUCAACAAGAACCCACAAAACCUUCAUCCAUCAGCACAGCGACCCUCAAAGAAGCUUCUGACAUAUGGAGAAGCAUUUAUAACACAGCAAACAUGUUUCAGGUGGCCACUGGACAGACUUCUCAUUUAUCUAAAUACACAGAUCAGAAAAACUCUGAGAAAAAGAAUGAAGGCAUUGCUGGUCAAAGCAGUGGUGCUUAUCUUCUUGAGAAGGAUGAAGAUGCUGAAGAUGGUGCCAAGGAUCCUGUAACAGUUAGAGGAGCUUAUGCAUCUUUAAUCUACCUGAGACACCUCAGGAUCAGAGAACUUAAGGUAAAAAACUGUCAAAAACUGGCAUUAUAG
rnacentral:lncRNA from 1 species